rnacentral:rRNA from 1 species
CCUACGGGAGGCAGCAGUGAGGAAUAUUGGUCAAUGGACGAGAGUCUGAACCAGCCAAGUAGCGUGAAGGAUGACUGCCCUAUGGGUUGUAAACUUCUUUUAUAUGGGAAUAAAACGUUCCACGUGUGGGAUUUUGUAUGUACCAUAUGAAUAAGGAUCGGCUAACUCCGUGCCAGCAGCCGCGGUAAUACGGAGGAUCCGAGCGUUAUCCGGAUUUAUUGGGUUUAAAGGGAGCGUAGGUGGAUUGUUAAGUCAGUUGUGAAAGUUUGCGGCUCAACCGUAAAAUUGCAGUUGAGACUGGCAGUCUUGAGUACAGUAGAGGUAGGCGGAAUUCGUGGUGUAGCGGUGAAAUGCUUAGAUAUCACGAAGAACUCCGAUUGCGAAGGCAGUUCACUGGACUGCAACUGACACUGAGGCUCGAAAGUGUGGGUAUCAAACAGGAUUAGAUACCCCUGUAGUC